rnacentral:rRNA from 1 species
AUUGAACGCUGGCGGCAGGCCUAACACAUGCAGGUCGAGCGGAUGACGGGAGCUUGCUCCUUGAUUCAGCGGCGGACGGGUGAGUAAUGCCUAGGACUCUGCCUGGUAGUGGGGGACAACGUUUCGACAGGAACGCUAAUACCGCAUACGUCCUACGGGAGAAAGCAGGGGACCUUCGGGCCUUGCGCUAUCAGAUGAGCCUAGGUAGGAUUAGCUUGUUGGUGAGGUAAUGGCUCACCAAGGCGACGAUCCGUAACUGGUCUGAGAGGAUGAUCAGUCACACUGGAACUGAGACACGGUCCAGACUCCUACGGGAGGCAGCAGUGGGGAAUAUUGGACAAUGGGCGAAAGCCUGAUCCAGCCAUGCCGCGUGUGUGAAGAAGGUCUUCGGAUUGUAAAGCACUUUAAGUUGGGAGGAAGGGCAGUAAGUUAAUACCUUGCUGUUUUGACGUUACCGACAGAAUAAGCACCGGCUAACUCUGUGCCAGCCGCCGCCGUAACAC